rnacentral:lncRNA from 1 species
AUGAUUGUUCCGUUGGUGCCCCACCAAUACCCCCUUUUUCCUGCACAGACCUGUCACAGUAUCUGUAUAAUUGUGUUAUGCUUAUUUACCUGUAGGCUUUUUUUCAACCGACAGGACUGAUUGAGAUGUAUCCGUGUAUAAUAGCACCAAGUAUAGUGUGGGUGCACAGUGAAUGAUAGUUAUUAUUAUUAUUCUUAAAGACUUUUAUUUUUAGGUAAUCUCUAUGCCCAACGUGGGGCUCAAACUCACAACCGUGAGAUCAAGAGUCGCAUGCUCCACUGACUGAGCCAGCCAGGUGCCCCUAUUUUUAUUAACAUCUGUCACUAACACUUUUUACUUCAUGUUUUUAAGUUCUGUUGUUAGGUACAUUUAUGUUUUUGGACUGUUGUAGUUUCUGAUGAAUUGACCCUUUUAUUGUUGAAGCCAAAGAAACAAGCUUUUCAACUUGAGGUGAGUGGUGGUGAAGAUAAUGGCAGCAAACACUUGAGGGCUCUCACAUAGAUGAGGCAUUGGGGGGCACUACUGAGACCCCUGAAUAGAGGUCACAGAGAAGCAGACUGGGAUUGUUCAAGAAAGGAACCUUUUUACAGAGCCCAAACGUGGGCUGCUUCAGAUAGUAGUGAGAUUCCUAUCUUUGGAUAUGAUAAAUUACACUGGACAACAAACCAACUGAUCAGCAGUGUUGCAGAAGGGAUGCAAACAUCAUACACAGACAGAUCUUUGAGGUUUCCUCACAGUUUGGCAGUAUGUGAUUCUGCGAUUCCAUUCCCAAAGAAGAGUUUCAAAUUUGUGUUAGCAAGAGAACACUGUUAAAAUAGUGACAGCAACCACCUAUGGAGUACCAGUCAGAGGCACAGAACUUGUUAUUUCUGAUCCUACAACAAUCUGGAGGUGUUUAAAUGCUACAUUAACAAUUGUGCAUAAUAGGAAAGUGGCUUGGAGAGGUUAAGAGAUUUGUUCAAAUCAUACAGAUCCAAGUCUCUCAAGCUCAUACUCUUUCCACUCCCUGCUCCUAAGUAUAGUUUCUGCUAAGCUGCCCAUGUGUUUCAGUCUGAAACCAUACUAUACUUGUCUGCACAGCACCUCUGUACCUAAAGGUAAGAGGACCUCUACAGGUAAAUAAUGGGUGGCAAGAAACAGGGGAAUGUCAUUAAAACUUUUCCAUGGCUUCUUAGUGCCCUCAGGGUCAAGUUUUUAACUUGACCUUAAGGCCCUCCACCUUUCCAGUUCUAGCCAUUUCUUCUGUUUCUCCCUCCAACCACACUAAAUGAGCUGCUUAAACCUGCCAAAUCCUUUCCUGCCUCAGGACCUUUGCAAAUGCUAUCGAUACCCUUUCUGGGAACUUACUUCCUCAAUAUCUUCAUCUCACUAAUUCCUGCCUAACUUCACAUCCCUCUCCCCUACUCAGUCCCAGGGUACUGGACUCAGUCACUCUCUCCUAUAGCAUCCUGUGCUGGAGGGCCAACGGGGUAUAAUCAAUGACAACUGUGUUUUCCCUACUUGAGAGCUCAAAAUGAGGGGGGAAAAAGGCAAAUGGAGACUCAUGAUAAAAGCUACAUUGUAGCUUAGUGGGAGAGUAAAAUAGGUCAACUUCCUGCCCACCCCACUAUCCCCACCACCCACUGAAUCUAGGCUUUGCCUAUCCCAUUAGUCUGUGAGCUCCAUGAGGCCAGGGACCAGGAAUGCUUUGCCAAACACUGUGUAUGUUUCCAAUGCCUUGCUUAAUCUCUGAUACAGUGCUCGAUACAUAUUUAUUGGUGAAAGAAUGUUAAAUGUUAUAUACAAGUCUCCCUCAAAUGUGAGGAGAUGAGGGCUACUCAGGAGAUGUGGAGUUAGGAGGGGACUGGGUAGGAGUUGAAAGUUUUGUUACAACAGAAGCCCUAGAGCAAGGGAAGCUUAGGUGCCUAAGAACUCAGGAGUUUGUUUCUUCAUAUCCAUGAAGAUCACUGUAUAUAAGGCAAACUGGAAUAUGAUUUAAACCAAUCCUGAUUAUAAAUGCUAGAUAACUAAUAAAAUAAAAAGAACUGAAAAUCUGCUUUGGCAGCAAACCAUUCCCACUAAUUGCAGUCAUUCACAAGAACUUACUAAUUAAGCUUAAUUAGCUUGUAGCACAAUUAUGUCUAUCAUUAAAUAUAUGGCAAAUGAGACAAUGUGGGAAAGUGUUAUAUAAACUGUAAAGCACCUUACAAAUAUGACUGCUAUAAUGUGUCAAAUUAGCACUGCAGUGAGUUUUGAUUAUAACUAUAAAGUCCACUUACUUUAUAUCUUUGUAGACUUAUUCAAGCCUAUGGGCAUAUGCUUAUGACUUUUAAGCCAUUAUCAAAAAAUUUGUUUCUAAAGAUGAUUCUUGAGAAGUUUCACUCAGUUCUGGUAUGUUAAUGAAAAAUUAGUCUUACCUCUUGAUCACUGUGUUAUUUAACCUUUAUUACACAUAACGUGUGUGCUUUCUCAUUCCAUCUUCUGAAUAUCCCCUCUAACUAGAAAGCUCUACUUUCUGCCAGUUAUGUUACUUAAAAAAAUAAAAA